GGGGAUUUGGCUCAGUGGUAGAGCGCUUGCCUAGCAAGCGCAAGGCCCUGGGUUCGGACCCCAGCUCCG
rnacentral:tRNA from 1 species